AGUCGAACGGUAGCACAGAGAGCUUGCUCUCGGGUGACGAGUGGCGGACGGGUGAGUAAUGUCUGGGAAACUGCCUGAUGGAGGGGGAUAACUACUGGAAACGGUAGCUAAUACCGCAUAACGUCGCAAGACCAAAGUGGGGGACCUUCGGGCCUCAUGCCAUCAGAUGUGCCCAGAUGGGAUUAGCUUGUAGGUGGGGUAACGGCUCACCUAGGCGACGAUCCCUAGCUGGUCUGAGAGGAUGACCAGCCACACUGGAACUGAGACACGGUCCAGACUCCUACGGGAGGCAGCAGUGGGGAAUAUUGCACAAUGGGCGCAAGCCUGAUGCGGCCAUGCCGCGUGUAUGAAGAAGGCCUUCGGGUUGUAAAGUACUUUCAGUGAGGAGGAAGGCGAUAAGGUUAAUAACCUUGUCGAUUGACGUUACUCGCAGAAGAAGCACCGGCUAACUCCGUGCCAGCAGCCGCGGUAAUACGGAGGGUGCAAGCGUUAAUCGGAAUUACUGGGCGUAAAGCGCACGCAGGCGGUCUGUCAAGUCGGAUGUGAAAUCCCCGGGCUCAACCUGGGAACUGCAUCCGAAACUGGCAGGCUAGAGUCUUGUAGAGGGGGGUAGAAUUCCAGGUGUAGCGGUGAAAUGCGUAGAGAUCUGGAGGAAUACCGGUGGCGAAGGCGGCCCCCUGGACAAAGACUGACGCUCAGGUGCGAAAGCGUGGGGAGCAAACAG
rnacentral:rRNA from 1 species